GCUCAUGUUUCUCUUCAGAUCGUACAAAUCUUUCGCCUUUUACUAAAGAUUUCCGUGGGGAGGAACAGCAUGAGUAUGAGAGUAGCCAAUUUUUGCUACUCUGCUCUCAGCAGAGUG